ACUUCAGUCUUCGUACAGUCUUUGCUUUAACCCGUUCCAACUCUGUCCGCCGCUCAGCUCGUUGGCUCUCUAUAGGAAUCGAAUCGAAUCACCUAGUAUAACAGCAGCAGUAGCAUCAGGUCGGUAGCCCACGUUGUUCCCCGGUUUCGUUCCGUUCAGCCAUCAUUGAAAGUUGGCGUCGCAGUCGCAGUUGCCGUCGCUGCCUACGUCCCAAACCAACCACCGCCACACGCCUCCGCCAACGCCAGCGACAUCCUCUCUACCACCUCUGGUAGCACCAUCAGCAGCAGCAGCAACAGCACGGCAGCAGGAGCCACAACCAGCACCAGAACACUCUCACACACUCUCCACUCACUGACGAAUUUCAAUAUCCAAAUCAAAGUCGGGUUCAAAUCGAAAACAGCCGCAACAGCAGCAACAACGCCUCGCAAACAGCACGCGGAUAAUGAUAAAAAGAAAAUAACACGCGCAGUUCGCAUCCAGUGCCCGACUCGAACAGAUCACAUCAGUCCAGAUCCCAGUCCCCGAGAAUAUUUUAAUCGAAGCUUCAAAAAUUCACUAAUUGAAAAGUAAAAUCGACUCGACUUCCGGCUUCGUGGUGUUUUCACUUUUCGUGCGUGUCAAUCAAAUAAAAAAAUCCUCAAAUAUAAAACUAUACUUUAAUUUUCGUUUCCCAGUGUCUUUAUCGCACCUUGCGCUUUCUGAAAUAGCCAUAAUUACAAGACCCGCAAGGACAGCAAUAAACCAAACAAAAAUAUUUAUUGAAAAUAAAAUCAAGAGAGCUCACCACAAUAAAAAAAAAACCAAAAACUUCAUUCUACAUCCAACUUCAACGACUCUGACUCGACACUUAAUUGCAAUCAGAAACUGACAAGUCCCAGCAUAAAUGAAAUAAAACUAGAGCUAAAGGCAACCAAUCUCCGUACGUACUUCGUGGUAUUUUUCUUAGCCCAAUACAAUCCCUCUCCGAAACCCGCCCCGCCCAAAAACCCAUCAGCCAUCAACACUACCGAAUAGAAUUCAUUAAGAAAUUAAAACUGAAGAAAACAAAGUAAUAACAAAGUAAAACAAUACAGAAAGGCACAAAACAAGAAACAGACAAAAGUGGUGAAUUGUUGCUAAACAAAAUUCCAGUCGGUACGAAGCAGUAUUUUAAAUUAUAUAUACGAGCUAAGUGUAAUAAAGAGAUAUUUACAAAAACAGAUCCUGUUAAGACAUACACGAAAGAAUUGCAAAUUUUAUAGCAAUUUAUGAAUCAAAAUAUAUAUUUGGAUCUUCUGCUGUUAAUUUUGAGCGUAAUUUAAAAGGGAAUUUAAACUCUAUAUAGAGGUGGCCGGAAAUCAAUAAAUAAAGGUGACCACAGAAAAAAACUGCACGAACAAGAAAUCGGAAAAGGUGAUAGGCAAAUAAGUCGAAGGUAACGACGAUAGAAAAGUGAAAGAAUGCAAAGGUUGUUAAAUUGAAAAUUAUGUAUAAAUAUUUACAAGGAGCAUACAAAAUCCGUUUAAUAGCUACAUAUCAGCAUCAAAGGACGGCAAACAAACAAUUAGAAAGCACUUGAAAGAAUUUCCAGAAAAAGAAAGAAAUCAAACAAAAGUAGAAGGAAUAGUUAUAUACAUAUUAAUGCUACUCAACAAUCAAACCAGCCCCCAAAUUAACCCGAAAGUAAAGCAGAGUAGCAUAUUUUAAAUAGUUAAAUCCUGCAUUUGCCUACUGACAACGGUUGUAUGAAGGCAUAGAAAAGUCAAUUUUGUAGUUUAUAAGCAAGCAGUGUCAAUCAGAGACUAUCUCAAUCUCAAUCACUUUCAAUCGACUUGGAAAAUAACCACUGACCGAUUUUCCUAGCUUCGACUGCUCUAUCAUACAGUAAGGGGUUAACGAUUUUAAGGGAAUAGGUUUAAAGUGGGAUCGCCGGGUCUAAUCAAUGCCUCGAUCGACAAGAAAUCGCGUUUUGACAAUCACACGAAAUUAGCGUAUUUCAUAUACACAUCAGAUAUAGCGCCUACGCGCGUAAUAUAGGAUUUAUAUACAUUCUUCUCUACAUCAUAUAUUUAUAAAAACAAAAGUUUUUCUAGCCUAGGCACUUUACAGAUCUUAAAUCGAACCUCUAUUCUAUGACAAUCUCUAAGACAACCACUCUAAUCCAAAAAACUCUAAGGCUUAAAAAUAAUUAAAGCGGUCUUUACAAUCUACAAUCAUCUUACAAUCAAUCGCAACUUCAAACAAUCUUUAAACGGUUUUCAUAUCUCUAAAUACAUAUUUAUGAACGUCUAAAAUAUUAUUCAACCGCAGUAGUGAUAUUAAGCAUAUUAACAUUUUUAAUAACACUUUAAA
rnacentral:sRNA from 1 species